AUUGAACGCUGGCGGCGGCCUAACACAUGCAAGUCGAGCGGAUGAAGGGAGCUUGCUCCUGGAUUCAGCGGCGGACGGGUGAGUAAUGCCUAGGAAUCUGCCUGGUAGUGGGGGAUAACGUCCGGAAACGGGCGCUAAUACCGCAUACGUCCUGAGGGAGAAAGUGGGGGAUCUUCGGACCUCACGCUAUCAGAUGAGCCUAGGUCGGAUUAGCUAGUUGGUGGGGUAAAGGCCUACCAAGGCGACGAUCCGUAACUGGUCUGAGAGGAUGAUCAGUCACACUGGAACUGAGACACGGUCCAGACUCCUACGGGAGGCAGCAGUGGGGAAUAUUGGACAAUGGGCGAAAGCCUGAUCCAGCCAUGCCGCGUGUGUGAAGAAGGUCUUCGGAUUGUAAAGCACUUUAAGUUGGGAGGAAGGGCAGUAAGUUAAUACCUUGCUGUUUUGACGUUACCAACAGAAUAAGCACCGGCUAACUUCGUG
rnacentral:rRNA from 1 species